rnacentral:rRNA from 1 species
UACGGAAGGGGCAAGCGUUGUUCGGAAUCAUUGGGCGUAAAGGGCGCGUAGGUGGUUCUGUAUGUCUACCGUGAAAGCGUACGGCUCAACCGUAUUUUGUCGGUGGAAACCGUUUGGCUAGAGUCCGGAAGAGGAGAGUGGAAUUCCCGGUGUAGCGGUGAAAUGCGCAGAUAUCGGGAAGAACACCCGUGGCGAAGGCGGCUCUCUGGGACGGUACUGACGCUGAGACGCGAAAGCGUGGGGAGCGAACAGG